UACCAUAUUUGGACUGCAAGGAUCCAGAUGAUAAAGCAACAGUGUUGGAAUUUUCCAUAUCUCUUUCCUUACUUCUAGGGUACAUCUGUAUUUUCCCCAACUUGCCAUGGUAGGUUAUGCAAAAGGACUUCAUAAUCUUUUGUGCUAGCCCCAAAUCUGCUUCAAGAUAUCCUCUGGGCCAAAACUUCAAAAACUUGGGAUCAUGAUUCAUAUUUUAGGGCAACCAGAGUCCAUGUUUUGUGAGAUGAUAGCAAUAUAAAUAUGAUGAAUAAAUAAAUAUACCCCAUGGGAGCAUGCAGGAAUACAAAGAUGGGCAAAUGAUGAAAUAUGUAUUGUGAUUUGCCCUUUAUACAUCAUGAUGUCAUGCACAGGCGCUAUCAGCUGACGAUGCAAGUCUGAGUUUCAGAUCAAAAGACUCAUAUCACGCAAAGUUUGUGGAUACUCUGGAAAGCAAAUUCCACAAGACCUUCUGAAGAAAUUCCUCACCUUGCAAUUAUGUUCACAUUCAUGCAUAGCAAUUGAUACCCUUUAUGCAAAGGUUUAGCCAUUUAGUUUGGCAUGUAUUUCAUUUAAU